UAGAGUUUCGCCCUGACCUCGCUCAAGCCUAAAUUGCAGAACCAACCUCGCUGGAGUUUCGCUGGGCCAGCACCUCGCUCGAGCGACCGUGUUAUCUGGCCAUUGCUAAUUUUAAUUUCUCGCGAAUUUUUAACACUCCAUAUUUCCAAAUUCGACCUAGUAUAUAAACAAAACGUCCGAUUUUUCAUUGAGAACCUUUGGCAAACACAAAACAUCAAUUCCUCUCAAAUUCCAAAGGAUCAAGAACAAACAAAUUCAUUCUUUUCAUCUUUUGUUUCUUUGAGUAAAAAC
rnacentral:lncRNA from 1 species